rnacentral:rRNA from 1 species
AGGAUGAACGCUGGCGGCGUGCCUAACACAUGCAAGUCGAACGUCCUGUCUCGCAAGAGGCAGGGAGUGGCGGACGGGUGAGUACCACGUGGGUCAUCUACCGUGAGGUGAGGAAUACCGGCGAGAAAUCGCCGACAAGACCGCAUAGCCUCGGUGCAAGUCGAGGAAAGCUCUCUCGAGAGAGGGAGCGCCACACGAGGAGCCUGCGCCCGAUUAGCUAGCUGGUGGAGUAACGGCUCACCAAGGCGACGACGGGUAGCCGGCCUGAGAGGGCGACCGGCCACACUGGGACUGAGACACGGCCCAGACUCCUACGGGAGGCAGCAGUGGGGAAUAUUGCGCAAUGGGCGAAAGCCUGACGCAGCGACGCCGCGUGGGGAUGAAGGCCUUCGGGUUGUAACCCUUUCAGCAGGGACGAAGCGAAAGUGACGGUACCUGCAGAAGAAGCGCCGGCUAACUACGCGCCAGCAGCCGCGGUAA